rnacentral:rRNA from 1 species
UGCCAGCCGCCGCGGUAAUACGGAGGGAGCGAGCGUUAAUCGGAAUUACUGGGCGUAAAGCGCGCGUAGGCGGCUUUGUAAGUCGGAUGUGAAAGCCCCGGGCUUAACCUGGGAAUUGCAUUCGAUACUGCAGAGCUAGAGUAUGGUAGAGGGAAGUGGAAUUUCCGGUGUAGCGGUGAAAUGCGUAGAUAUCUGGAGGAACAUCAGUGGCGAAGGCGGCUCCCUGGCCAAAGACUGACGCUCAUGUGCGAAAGUGUGGGUAGCGAACAGGAUUAGAUA